CUUGGGGGGGGGGUCCUCCAGCCCGGAUUGCGAGAGGGUGCAGGCCAGGCCGAGGUACACCACUGGUGCACG
rnacentral:pre_miRNA from 1 species